rnacentral:lncRNA from 1 species
AGACCAAAUCGAUAAUUUAUCUUGUACUUUAUUGUGGGAUAUGAAGAAACUUUUAUCAGCAAACUAGGGAAAUACAAAUACAUCAUUACAAUUAAUUUGAGCAGAUACACACAUCUCAACUUCUUAGACCAACACAUACACAUACACAUACACUUACAAAGCAAAUAUAUUGAUGAUUAAUCAAUGCGUAAUCUGAGACAACAUAGUCCUGGCAUCCUUACUAUUAGGCCUCUCUUUAGGAUUAUCCAAGGUGCAGAAACAAGCGACCUUCAAAG